ACGGCGGCCGUAACUAUAACGGUCCUAAGGUAGCGAAAUUCCUUGUCGGUUAAAUACCGACCUGCAUGAAUGGCGUAACGAGAUGGGAGCUGUCUCAACCAGAGAUUCAGUGAAAUUGUAGUGGAGGUGAAAAUUCCUCCUACCCGCGGCAAGACGGAGAGACCCCGUGGACCUUUACUACAACUUAGCACUGCUAAUGGGAAUAUCAUGCGCAGGAUAGGUGGGAGGCUUUGAAGUAAGGGCUUUGGCUCUUAUGGAGUCAA
rnacentral:rRNA from 1 species